ensembl:lncRNA
UUUCAAACCUGUUUGACUUUUUUUAUUUUGUGGAACAUGAAGCUACUUUGAAGAAUGUUGGUAACAAAACCGUUUGAGAAGAAUGAAAGUCUUUCAGGUAUGAAAUACCAUGAGGAUGAAUAAUGAAUUAUUGACAGAAUUUCUCAUUUUUGGGUGAACACCACCUUUAAUACCCUUUUAUCUCAUGGCAUUAUUUUUGCAAUUUUAAUUGCAGUGUAAAUGCAUCCAUGCCACAUCUGAGUUGCAAUUAACUGCCUGUAAAUAUCUUUAAAUAUCAAUUCAGAUGCAGCUUCUGAAAAAAAAUCUAAAUACUUCUAAAGCUCUCUCUCUCUCUCUCUCUCCCUCUCUCUCUCUGUGCGCAUGCGUGAGCAUUUGUUGAGCGAGCGAGUGGGAAGCUUUUACCUUUAUUACUUGUGGUAUACUGUUGAAAAGGUGUAGUGGUUUGUUGUCUGUCUGCCAGUUUUUAUAACUGGCAGGAUGACUUCAGGUGCGAGGAUGCUAGAUUUCCUCACACAGCGUCAUGCGGUGAAGUUAAGUUUGAACGCUAGUGUGGAAGAGUGUAGUUUAGCUGUAGGAGAGGUGGUUGGCUGUGAAAAUGUUCUGUCAGCAUCGAGAAUGAACAACGCAGUUGUUGUUUUUUUGAAAACCAUUGAAUUAGGAAACUUGUUGGUUGAAAGUGGCGUUGUUAUUGACAAUGUUUUUGUUCCAGUGUUACCGUUGUCUACUCCGUCUAAAAAAGUGAUUCUAUCAAACGUGCCGCCUUUCAUAAAAACUGAGGUGCUGGUUAAAUUGUUGGAGAGAUAUGGCAGAUUGGUUUCCCCAAUCAAAAUGAUCCAGAUUGGUUGUAAAUCGACGUUGCUGAAACACGUAGUGUCUUUCAGACGUUUUGUGUACAUGGUAUUAAAGGACAAUAAAGAGGAAUUGGAUUUGACGUUCAAUUUCAAUCAUGAUGACUUUAACUAUGUAGUGUAUGCUACGACUAAUAGCAUGAAAUGCCUUAGUUGUGGUGAAACAGGACAUCUCGUGAGGGUUUGUCCAAAAAAAGAAGAGAAAUCAAAGGAAAAAGUUUCAUCAGUCUCGGUUAAAAAAGUUGGUGAGGAAGAGGUGGUAGUACAAGUUGUUAGGAGUGAGGUGCCUACAACAGUGGAUGUAGUUGAGGAGAACACUGUACAAAAGCCUGUCGAUGCAAACUCAGUAGGUUUAUUAGGUGAUGCUGCAGCUUUGAAGAAAAAGGGGAAAGAGCGAGUGGUAGUGGCAGAUAUAGAAGAAGCUUCUGUCUCUGAUGAAAGGCGUCAGUUAAUUGAUGGUUUAGGUAUGCAGAGUUCGGUAAUUAAUCAAGAUAUGGAGCUGGAAGGGGAUCGGUGUUCUGGGGGAGAACAAGAUGAAUGUGUUUUUAAAACACCACAAAAGAGGAGAAUGAAACAGAGCCACUACAGUAAAUCAAAAAAAUUGGAAAAUAGCCAAACUGAUACUGAGAGUGACACUGACCUUUCAGAGUGUAGUGUUACUCUUGAUCAAACAAAGGAUGAUUCCUCAGAACAGUCUUACAGUGUAGAUGAUGUUAAGCUCUUUUUGAGAGUGACAAAGAAUGCAAGAAAUGUGCGCAUUACAGAGUACUUUCCUGAUUUGGAGCAAUUUGUAGAAAAAGCAAAGGGUUUUAAGAGUGAAGGUCUUUUUUCUGAUCAAGAGGUUUACAGACUGA